UUUUUUUACUUUCUUACCAAUUGACUUGAAGAGAGAAUCUUUCUCUCACAUGGUACCUAGGUAUAUAGAAUAUCCUCAAGUUCUUAAAAAAAAAUUAUAAUAGAUAUAGGUGUAUUCAAGUAUAGGUGUAUCUGAGUGUGUGUUUGUUGUAUAUGUUACAUUUGAAGCAUGUGAACUAUGUGAUGUACUAAUCUUCAAUUAUUUUAGUAGCCUCAUCAAAUUUUCACUAAGAAAAUUAAGUUGUUCCUAUUUUUCCUUGGGUGGCGGAUAUGAACAUCUUCAUAGUAUUGAAUAGUGCCAGUGAAUGCUCGAGUUGCUCCAGAACUCCGAUCUUGAACCUGAUUUUGAUAUCGAAGAAGAUAUCGGGAACAAGGCUACUAUGGCAAAAGAGGAGGAGCAGCAGCAGAAAGAGGAGGUGCGAUUGUGUUCCUUGGCCUUCAUCAACUACGAAACCAGCAAGGACUUUUGAUUGGCGCCGCUUCGAUCCGGUUGCUCUCCCCGCUGCUUCGAUCCUAUGCCCCACCGCUUGGUUCCAUUCCCCUACCGCUUCGAUACCAUCUCUUACUUUCGCCCAUCUCCCGUUCUCUCUCUGUCCCACCUACGUCCUCUAGGUUUUCGUAGAAGAGGGUGAUGAGCACGGCGGUGGAUCCAUGGGCAGCGACAGCGGAGGCGAUCACCAUGACGGUGGAGGCCACAACUAUGGCCGUGACGGAGAGGCGAGAGACUUUAGAAAGAAGGGGUGGGGCAUGGCGGGGGGCCCUACUGCCGUCCUCCGAGCGGAAACCAGAAUCUCUCAUCGCGAAUCGAAACCCUUCCCUAAUUCUCCUCCUCACCCCAAUUCGCACUCCCACAAAUUGAUCAAAAGGGAAACCCUAUCAAGGACAAUUAGUUUAUGGCUAUGGAUCUGUUGCAUGGAAGGAUCGGGCGGGCGAAUGGAAAAUAAAGCAGUUGGAGAAGAUCCAAAAGGCUCAUAUGGUAGUAGUAUGAGAAGAUAAAGGGACCCGAAAAAAAAAAAGCAAAAAGCAAAAGCAAUUUAUAGCAGCAGUUAGAAAAAAAUCAGGACUAUAGAUGUAGAAGCCCAAUUCUAUGUGCUUGCCGUAGAUAACAGCAUCAUUUGAUAGGAAGGUCAUUGAGAGGUUGCACAAACACUUUUUAAGCCGAGGUGCCAGUGUAGAUUCCAGGAGCAAGGCAUUGGAAUUGCUAGAGUUGAGGGAUGGUGCUAAGAUUCAUAACCAAGCUAACCCACUUUUUGCUUCCCCUGAUAUCCAAGAGAUAGAAUUUGGUAAUUAUUGAUUACUGUAUGUCUGGAAUGACUGGGGAUCAUUUUCUUUGAAAGAUAUUCCAAUGAAUAGGCCUUCCAAGAUCAAUUGGUGAGGAGUUUUCAGUGAGAGAAUUAAUUUCAUAAAAGUCCCAAACAUACUUCCAUUUCUUUUCUUUUUUGUUUAUCUUACUUUUAAUGUUUACAUUGUGUUUAAGUUUUUGUAGUAUUUUAGAUCUAAUUUUGAAGUACUAUAUGUAUGUUUUGAUUGUGAAGAGUAUAAGAAGUGAUGCAUUUGAGCAGUUGCCCUUUCAAAUAA